rnacentral:snRNA from 13 species
AUACUUACCUGACGCGGGAGGUUUACCGUGAUCACCAAGGCGGUCCUCUCAGGGUGAGGCCCUCUCAUGCACUCGAUUGGGUGACCCCU